UCAAAGGCGAUGAUGGAGACGAGUAAGUGCGGGGGCACCGGGCAGAGAGCCUGGAACAGGUGAGAGCCAGGUACGGGAGCCGCGUCGAAAAUCCCUCCGGAGCCGUUGACUGAAAGGCCAACGCGCGCUCAGGCGCGCCUCCGAGUAAGCUCAACCGGGUUCGCCCCCGUUACAAGCGCGCAGCGAUGUUGGUCGCCGGAAGAGAGGCCCUGUCUGUGUGGGCAAGAAGGGUGGUACCGCGGGAGCACAGGCUCUCGUCCCUUGA
rnacentral:ncRNA from 1 species